UACAGAGGUCCCGAGCGUUGUUCGGAUUCAUUGGGCGUAAAGGGUGCGUAGGCGGCGGGGAAAGUCUGAUGUGAAAUCCUGGGGCUCAACCCUGGAACUGCAUUGGAUACUUCCUUGCUAGAGUACUGGAGAGGAAACUGGAAUUUACGGUGUAGCAGUGAAAUGCGUAGAGAUCGUAAGGAAGACCAGUGGCGAAGGCGGCUACCUGGACAAUUGCUGACGCUCAGGCACGAAAGCGUGGGGAGCAAAAGGG
rnacentral:rRNA from 1 species